rnacentral:rRNA from 1 species
UACAGAGGGUGCGAGCGUUGUCCGGAAUCACUGGGCGUAAAGGGCGCGUAGGUGGCGGCCCAAGUCCAUGGUGAAAGCUCGAUGCUCAACAUCGAGUCGGCCACGGAUACUGGGUUGCUCGAGCACUGUAGGGGCAGAUGGAAUUCCGGGAUGUAGCGGUGGAAUGCGUAGAGGAUCCGGAAGAACACCGGUGGCGAAGGCGGUCUGACUGGGCAGUUGC